rnacentral:SRP_RNA from 1 species
GCUGGGAGUGUGGCGUCUCCUGUAAUCCGGCUACUCGGAGGCUGGUUGUGUUGGAGGAUCUGAGGUCGGAGGCACCUGCUGGUGCGGGACUCACGUUGACUGGGCGUCCGCACUAAACUCACCAUCCAAAUGGGCACCCUGGAGAAGUCCAAGAUGACCAGGUUAGCUAAGGAGAGGCGAACCGGGCCAGAGGGAAAACCCAGCAGCCAAAAGUCUCCGUGGAACCGCAUUGGCAACCUGAUUGAUAUGUCCCGGGCG